rnacentral:rRNA from 1 species
UACGUAGGGGGCAAGCGUUGUCCGGAGUUACUGGGCGUAAAGCGCACGCAGGCGGUCUCUUAAGUUUGGAGUGACAGUUGGUGGCUUAACUGCCAAAGUGCUUCGAAAACUGAGAGACUUGAGGGCUUCAGAGGGACACGGAAUUCCGGGUGGAGUGGUGAAAUGCGUAGAGAUCCGGAGGAACACCAGUGGCGAAGGCGACACGCUGGGCCGUACCUGACACUGAUGCGCGACAGCAUGGGGAGCAAACAGG